rnacentral:rRNA from 1 species
AACGAACGCUGGCGGCAGGCCUAACACAUGCAAGUCGAGCGCGCCCUUCGGGGUGAGCGGCGGACGGGUGAGUAACGCGUGGGAACGUGCCCUUCUCUGCGGAAUAGCCUCGGGAAACUGAGAGUAAUACCGCAUACGCCCUUUGGGGGAAAGAUUUAUCGGAGAAGGAUCGGCCCGCGUUGGAUUAGGUAGUUGGUGGGGUAAUGGCCCACCAAGCCGACGAUCCAUAGCUGGUUUGAGAGGAUGAUCAGCCACACUGGGACUGAGACACGGCCCAGACUCCUACGGGAGGCAGCAGUGGGGAAUCUUAGACAAGGGGGGCAACCCUGAUCUAGCCAUGCCGCGUGAGUGAUGAAGGCCUUAGGGUUGUAAAGCUCUUUCAGCUGGGAAGAUAAUGACGGUACCAGCAGAAGAAGCCCCGGCUAACUCCGUG